rnacentral:lncRNA from 1 species
CUGGUGAGAGCUGCUGUCAAACUCCUUUGCAAGGCUGGGGGCAGGCGGUGUCCUGUGUGCUCAGGACACGUGGGGUCUGGCCCCACUGUGGCCGGACCCCGAGCUCCUGCGAGUCUGGCGGCUGCAUCCUCCUAUGCCCCCAGCCCAGAAGCUGAGGUUCCAGAAGCUCCCCAGGCCUCGUCGAGGUCCAGGCAGAGGAACAGGAUUAGGAUUGAGCCCCGAGGCCCCAGACCUCAGCUUCCUGCACAAACCACAUGACCUGGGGGGUUGAGGGGCUCGAGUCAAGACCCGCAGCAGAUCAGGAAAAGGCCUCGUGCUGUCUGGUUCUGAGCAGACUCGCUGGAGGUGAAUCAGAGCUCUGGAAAUUACUCCUUAAGUUGCGGUCUUCGGUCUCCGUUGCCUGACACUCGUAAAGUUAGUUUUACAAGCAGCCUAAACUC